UGUUGCACAAAAGUAGAAUUAAGACAUCCGGGAUAAAUGACUCAGCUGAGCUCAAUAAAGCCAAAACAUGUGCGUCCAGGCUUAAUUGGUUGCACAAAGACCAAGCCAGGAUGAGCAGACACGGAUUCAUUAAGCCAGGUGAAACCAAUCCUGGAUAGGUGCGCGCUCACGGCUCACUCAAAUAGACCCCGCCACAGAUCACAGAUUAACUGAUUUACCAUGGCAACUAGAGCCGCGUACUUUUCCCCGUCGGAAGCACAAAUCCUCAUGGAGGCAUACGAGGAGGUAAAAGAUAUAAUUAAGAAGAAAGGCAACACCACCACAGUGAUAAAGCAAAGAGAAAAAGCGUGGCAAAGUAUUGCAGACCGCCUGAAUGCAUUAAACAUGAACGGGCCAAAACGGACAUGGCAGCAGGUCAAAAUCAAAUACAAGAACAUUCUGCAGAAUGCAGUGAAAAAGAAUACCCACAGACAAGGCACGGGUGGUGGGUCACCAAAGGCUGACCUUACCCCAGCAGAGGACAUGGCCUUGGAGCUAAAUAAAGGCAGGCCCGUCUUAGAGGGGAUCCCUGGGGGGAAAGAGACGAGCAUAGGUUCCUCCCAAGAUGCCACCCGCUUCAUUCAAGGUAUGUCCUUCCAUCUCUACAUGGAAUACAACCACAUUCAUAUUGAAUCAAUUUGGACUGUCUGACUUUGGUUUACCUAUUGCCUUGCAGUGUCUGGCAGCACUGUGUUCCUGUCAGAGCCACCAGCACAAGCACCAGACGAUGCUGAUCCAGGUGAAAGCCCCAGUGCAGCAGCAACAGCACAUGAUGGAGACGAUGAUGAGGAGGAGACCAUCUCUCUGGAUUCCAGAAGGCAUGAGGACCCAGAUGCUAUACAGUGGGAAAACCAGCCUGGCAACAUAAGCUCACAAGCUAUCAGAAAGUUGUAUGGCAACCACCUCUGGCGCCAAAUAGAACUGGC